AUUGAACGCUGGCGGCAGGCCUAACACAUGCAAGUCGAACGGUAACAGGAUGAAGCUUGCUUCUUUGCUGACGAGUGGCGGACGGGUGAGUCAUGUCUGGGAAACUUCCUGCUGGAGGGGGAUAACUACUGGAUACGGUUGCUACUACCGCAUAACUUCUCAAGCCCAAAGAGGGUGACCUUCUGGCCUCUUGCCUUCGGAUGUGCCCAGAUGGUAUUAGGUAGUAGGUGGGGUUACGGCUCACCUUUGCUACGAUGCCUAGCUGCUCUGAGAGGAUGACCAGCCACACUGGAACUGAGACACGGUCCAGACUCCUACGGGAGGCAGCAGUGGGGAAUAUUGCACAAUGGGCGCAAGCAUGAUGCAGCCAUGCCGAGUGUAUGAAGAAGGCCUUCGGGUUGUAAAGUACUUUCAGCGGGGAGGAAGGGAGUAAAGUUAAUACCUUUGCUAAUUGACGUUACCCGCAGAAGAAGCACCGGCUAACUCCGUG
rnacentral:rRNA from 1 species